rnacentral:rRNA from 1 species
AUUGAACGCUGGCGGCAGGCUUAACACAUGCAAGUCGAGCGGGGUGAUGGUGCUUGCACUAUCACUUAGCGGCGGACGGGUGAGUAAUGCUUAGGAAUCUGCCUAUUAGUGGGGGACAACAUCUCGAAAGGGAUGCUAAUACCGCAUACGUCCUACGGGAGAAAGCAGGGGAUCACUUGUGACCUUGCGCUAAUAGAUGAGCCUAAGUCGGAUUAGCUAGUUGGUAGGGUAAAGGCCUACCAAGGCGACGAUCUGUAGCGGGUCUGAGAGGAUGAUCCGCCACACGGGGACUGAGACACGGACCAGACUCCUGCGGGAGGCAGCAGUGGGGAAUAUUGGACAAUGGGGGGAACCCUGAUCCAGCCAUGCCGCGUGUGUGAAGAAGGCCUUAUGGUUGUAAAGCACUUUAAGCGAGGAGGAGGCUCUUUUGGUUAAUACCCAAGAUGAGUGGACGUUACUCGCAGAAUAAGCACCGGCUAACUCUGUGCCAGCCGCCGCAGUAA